GCUGACGAGCGGCGGACGGGUGAGUAACGCAUAGGAAUUUACCCGGUAGUGGGGGAUAACCUGGGGAAACCCAGGCUAAUACCGCAUACGUCCUACGGGAGAAAGGGGGCUUUGGCUCCCGCUAUCGGAUGAGCCUAUGCCGGAUUAGCUGGUUGGUGAGGUAAUGGCUCACCAAGGCGACGAUCCGUAGCUGGUCUGAGAGGAUGAUCAGCCACAUCGGGACUGAGACACGGCCCGAACUCCUACGGGAGGCAGCAGUGGGGAAUAUUGGACAAUGGGGGCAACCCUGAUCCAGCCAUGCCGCGUGUGUGAAGAAGGCCCUCGGGUUGUAAAGCACUUUCAGCGAGGAAGAACGCCUGUCGGUUAAUACCCGGCAGGAAAGACAUCACUCGCAGAAGAAGCACCGGCUAACUCCGUGCCAGCAGCCGCGGUAAUACGGAGGGUGCAAGCGUUAAUCGGAAUUACUGGGCGUAAAGCGCGCGUAGGUGGCUUGAUAAGCCGGUUGUGAAAGCCCCGGGCUCAACCUGGGAACGGCAUCCGGAACUAUCAGGCUAGAGUGCAGGAGAGGAAGGUAGAAUUCCCGGUGUAGCGGUGAAAUGCGUAGAGAUCGGGAGGAAUACCAGUGGCGAAGGCGGCCUUCUGGACUGACACUGACACUGAGGUGCGAAAGCGUGGGUAGCAAACAGGAUUAGAUACCCUGGUAGUCCACGCCGUAAACGAUGUCGACCAGCCGUUGGGUGCCUAGCGCACUUUGUGGCGAAGUUAACGCGAUAAGUCGACCGCCUGGGGAGUACGGCCGCAAGGUUAAAACUCAAAUGAAUUGACGGGGGCCCGCACAAGCGGUGGAGCAUGUGGUUUAAUUCGAUGCAACGCGAAGAACCUUACCUACCCUUGACAUCCUGCGAACUUGUGAGAGAUCACUUGGUGCCUUCGGGAGCGCAGAGACAGGUGCUGCAUGGCUGUCGUCAGCUCGUGUUGUGAAAUGUUGGGUUAAGUCCCGUAACGAGCGCAACCCUUGUCCUUAUUUGCCAGCACGUAAUGGUGGGAACUCUAAGGAGACUGCCGGUGACAAACCGGAGGAAGGUGGGGACGACGUCAAGUCAUCAUGGCCCUUACGGGUAGGGCUACACACGUGCUACAAUGGCCGGUACAAAGGGCUGCGAACUCGCGAGAGCAAGCGAAUCCCUUAAAGCCGGUCUCAGUCCGGAUCGGAGUCUGCAACUCGACUCCGUGAAGUCGGAAUCGCUAGUA
rnacentral:rRNA from 2 species